rnacentral:rRNA from 1 species
GGACUACAGGGGUUUCUAAUCCCGUUUGCUCCCCUAGCUGUCGCACAUGAGCGUCAGGUGCCAUCCAGGAAACUGCCUUCGCCUUUGGUGUUCUUCCGAAUCUCUACGCAUUUCACCGCUCCACUCGGAGUUCCGUUUCCCUCUCUGGCCCUCAAGUCACGCCGUCUUCGGAGCACUCUCCCAGUGAAGCCGGGAGCUGUCACCCCAAACGCGCGCGACCGCCUGCGUGCCCUUUACGCCCAGUAACUCCGGACAACGCUCGCCCCCUACGUAUUACCGCGGCUGCUGGCAC